GGAGUCUGGGCCGUGUCUCAGUCCCAGUGUGGGGGAUCUUCCUCUCAGAACCCCUAGACAUCGUCGGCACGGUGGGCCGUUACCCCGCCGUCUACCUAAUGCCCCGCGAGCCCAUCCGCAACCAUCGGAAUUUUCAAUAUCGUAUCAUGCGGUACAAUAUGUUAUGGGAUAUUAGACACCGUUUCCAGCGCUUAUCCCCCAGUUGCGGGCAAGUUGCUCACGUGUUACGCACCCUUCCGCCGGUCGCCGCCAUCGUAUUGCUACGACGCGCUGCCCCUCGACUUGCAUGUGUUAAGCCUGCCGCUAGCGUUCAUC
rnacentral:rRNA from 1 species